ensembl:lncRNA
CACAACAGCCCCAGCUGGACAAUAUGCCACCAAUCAACGCCAAAGAACGAGUACAAGAGUAUGUGCAACAACAGUCAGAACUCAGCGUUAAUCUGCAGACUUCAGAGGUAAAUUCUCCUGGAAUCCCACUUCCUCCAGUUACACAGCCAGAUAUCUCCAUUGCGGCAACAGUAAAAGCAUACAAGGAAUCGAGUACCUGUCAGCCUAGUGUGUACAACAGUCAAGAGUUUGCACCUUUGCAAUCCUACUGUGCCGUGAGUCCAAAGAAAGAAUCGUACAACUGGAGUUACGGAGGACAGACGACGAAUGAUGGAUUUCACCAUCCCCAGCCCAAGCUAGUGACACCCACACCGACAAGGGGCAGUCCUGGUGACACUUCAGAUCUAACAAAAUAUCUCAUACGGAAAGACAUGAUCGGCUCUGGUCUCCUGAAAUUCGAUGAUCGACCAGAGAACUACUGGGCGUGGAAGACUUCCUUUCUAAGUGCAAUUCAAGAUCUGAGUAUAUCACCUCAAGAAGAGCUAGACCUGCUUUCCAAAUGGCUUGGCCCACACUCAGCUGCACAGGCCAGGAGAGUCAGAGCUGCAUAUAUAAACAAUCCUACAGCAGGCCUACAGAUGGUGUGGCAGAGACUGGAGGAGUGUUUUGGAGCACCAGAGGUGAUUGAGCAUGCACUUCUAAAGAAAGUUGAGGAUUUUCCUAAGCUGAUGAAUAGAGACAACCAACGCUUAAGAGAACUGGGGGAUCUUCUACUCGAACUUCAUGCUGCAAAAACAAGUGGCCAUCUUCCUGGUCUUUCACAUCUUGACACAGCACACGGAGUCAACCCAAUUCUGGAAAAGCUUCCAUAUCACCUUCAGGAGAAAUGGGUAACAGCCGCCUCAAGGUUCAAGAGAGAUAAUGCAGUAUCCUAUCCUCCAUUUUCAUUUUUUGUUGGUGUAGUGAAUGAAGAAGCCAGAAUUCGCAAUGACCCAAGUUUUUCCUGUGUCACCUCUGCCAGUGCCAGCAAUCCGAAAACAGAGAGAACGGUAAGGCAGAACUAUCAACCCCCUUUGUCUGUUAAGAAGACAGAGAUUUCAAGUGUUGGGGGAGCCAGCUCAAACACUCCCACUGACAAGAACAACAUAGACCCCGAUAAACAAUGUCCGCUACACAGUAAGCCUCACCCGCUGAGAAAAUGCCGUCUCUUCAGAAGUAAGACUUUGGAGGAAAGAAAGACUUUCUUGAAAAACAAACAAAUUUGUUUUAAGUGUUGCUCUUCUGUUAAUCACAUAGCCAAAGAUUGUUUGAAGGCAGUACAGUGCACAGAGUGUGGUAGUGGAAGGCAUAUCACUGCACUACACCCUGAUCCCCUUCCCCGUAGAUUGGAGAGCUCAGUGACCACGGAUGAGCAUGGCGGGGAGGAAAGAGAAUCAGCUGCAGCUGAUGUGACAUCAAAAUGCAAAGGAGUAUGUGGAGGUUCGAUCGGCUCAAGAUCAUGCUCCAAGAUAUGUUUGGUUAAAGUGUUUCCUGCCGAACAACCAGAGAAAGCGGUUAGCAUGUAUGCUGUUCUGGAUGAACAAAGCAACCGCUCCUUGGCUAAAACAUACUUUUUUGACAUCAUUAACAUUCAAGGACAACCAGAACCAUACACAUUGAAAACAUGUGCAGGCGUCAGAGAAGUAGCAGGGAGACGAGCCAGCCACUUCAUAGUAGAGUCGCUUGAUGGUAUGACUCAGCUUCCCUUGCCCAAUCUCAUUGAGUGUGAUAUGAUACCUGAUGAUAGGACUGAAAUCCCGUCACCCGACGUUACUUCCUAUUACCCACACCUGAAACCAGUCCAAGGUAAAAUUCCAGAAAUUGAUCCAGGUGCGGAAAUCCUUCUCCUCCUUGGCAGAGACAUUUUGUGUGUGCACAAGGUAAGAGAACAGCAUAACGGACUCCAUAACGAGCCAUAUGCUCAACGGCUCGACCUUGGUUGGGUAAUCGUGGGUGAAGUGUGUCUAGGGCAGGUGCACAAGGCAGCCAAUGUUAGCGUAUACAGGACCAACAUUCUGCUAAGUGGACGAGCUUCACUCUUGAGUUCAUGUCCAAACAACGUACGAGUCAAAGAAAAGCUUAGUUGUCAC